CCAUGUUAGGUUUUCUGAUUUGAAGUUGUUGUUGUUUCUUUUGAUUUCUGAGAUCAAGAAGAAUCAUCACUGUUUCGGAAGAAUAGCAACAAAAUCAAGUGAUUUUCAGUUGGGUUGAAGAAUAAUUUAGGAGUAUGUGGAUUCAAUUUUAUAAAUCAGGUGGGAGGACUAGCAGUAGUGGAGAAUACAAAUUUUCUUUCACAUGACAUGCUAUUCUGGUCUCGGUGGUGCACUCAGUUUUAUUAUGUACAGUUUUUCCUAACCCUUCAACUGUCUAUGAGCUAAUAGUAGUGGAGAAUACAAAUUUUUUAUCUCCUAUGUUUAGUUAAUACUGGACGUGGACUUGUAAUGCUUUCAAUUUGAUACAAAUAUAUGUGAAAAUCAUCGUUGUUUUAGUU